CUUCACUGGAUUUCUGUCUUUGUUGGAAGCUGUGACUAUAUAUAUCUCGGUACUGGAAUGCCUUCUAAAACAGGGAAUUGCCUUGUCUCCUGCCGUUAUUUCGGCAGUGAGACAUGGAACAGCCCAAGGUGCUGCAGGUUACACACACUGGCUGGGCACUGAGUGGUCAGCAGCGCGUGCCGAUGCCCUCCCACUUGGCUCUCUGCCUCCCGCCAGUGCACCCGGAGAAGUGGAACUGGCACCGGUCUGUGCGGACCAGGCGGCAGGCGUUACGGUUCAGCAGCAUUGCACCAAUUCAACAUCCCUGGGAAAUGCCCUGGGAAAGCAGAGCUUCUCCUCGGGCUUUCCCCCAAGACGCGGGCUCCCUGCCGGUGGGCAGCAGGGGCUGCUGUCGAGGGCACUUUGGUGUCGCCAGCUGGCGCUGAGGGACGUCUCUGCUCCUCCUGGCCUCGGGGGUGCCCGCAGCCCCUUCGCUGCCGCGGGACUCGCGCUCUUCCCCGUAUGCCGUGGAGGAGCUCCGGGGAGCUCAGGUGCCCCUCGCCUGCCCCACCGGCCUUGGUUUAUCGGCUUGCCACCUCCUUGGAGACGAAAGCUUUCUUAUCACCCUGUUUGGGCAGUGGUAACUGUUUUGUUACCACCGUGAAUUUAGGAAAAAACUAUCAAAACCUCUAAAGUCAGUCCAUAUUUAUAGUGGGGUAACCGAUGAUAGCGCUUGGCUGCUUUUAUUAGAUGUACAAAGCAGUCUUGUUCUGGAGCUAUUUUAAACAGAAUCUCCUAUCCUUUGGGAUUCUUGAAUUUAGGGCUGCAAGAAGAAGUAAUCAAGUUUGUUAUAAUCCCUUUCAUCUAAAUUAUCAUACACAUGAGUAAAUUACACAUUUGGUUACAUUGCUGUAGAUUUGCGUGUUGUUGUUUGUAUCCAGUGACAAAAUAUUCUUUUAGGCUUUUUUUUUAAGGGUUACAGUAAAAUUCUACAUGAUGUAUAUCACAGAUAAUAAUUUACAUCUAGAAAUAAUGAGGCCACCCUGCCUAUGGCAAUGAACAGGCUUUAAUACAACAGUAAAACAAGCCCUGAUGUCUCUUCGUAAUUAGUCUCCAUUGAUUAAACACAGAGAUUAUUUACUAAAAUCCCAGCACAACCAAAAGGAAGAAUAACUAAUGCAAUGGCUGUAUUCCAGGAUCAUAUGCAAUUCAUCUCUCCUAAGCCAGCUGAGCCUCUAUAAUCUCAAGGAAUUUAUAAAAGACUAGGGAGAAAGCCUUAGGUUAAGAAUAUUUAGUAUAAAAAGUAUCUGUUUAUCUUAAGAAGUUCUCCUAUUCUUGAGGGGAAAGAGACCAGUAUAUUAAAGCCACUGAAGCCUUGCAAUAAGACAUAAGAAGCUGUGUCAGAUCACUAAUGGAAACAAUCUUUAUGAUGUUGAGAUUUUG
rnacentral:lncRNA from 1 species